UACGUAGGAGGCAAGCGUUGUCCGGAGUUACUGGGCGUAAAGGGCCCGCAGGCGGUGGAGCAAGUUUGGAGUGACAGUUCCCAGCUUAACCGGGAAAGGACUUCGAAAACUGCUCGACUUGAGGACUGGAGAGGAAGGCGGAAUUCCGGGUGGAGCGGUGAAAUGCGUAGAGAUCCGGAGGAACACCGACGGCGAAGGCAGCCUUCUGGGAAGUACCUGACGCUGAGGGGCGAAAGCUAGGGGAG
rnacentral:rRNA from 1 species